rnacentral:rRNA from 1 species
GUACGUAGGUGGCAAGCGUUGUCCGGAAUUACUGGGUGUAAAGGGCGUGUAGGCGGAGCGGCAAGUCAGAAGUGAAAUCUCCGGGCUUAACCCGGAAACUGCUUUUGAAACUGUCGCCCUUGAGUAUCGGAGAGGCAGGCGGAAUUCCUAGUGUAGCGGGGAAAUGCGUAGAUAUUAGGAGGAACACCAGUGGCGAAGGGGGCCUGCUGGACGACAACUGACGCUGAGGCGCGAAAGCGUGGGGAGCAAACAGGAUUAGAUACCCUGGUAGUCCACGCCGUAAACGAUGGAUACUAGGUGUGGGGGGACUGACCCCUCCGUGCCGCAGUCAACACAAUAAGUAUCCCACCUGGGGAGUACGAUCGCAAGAUUGAAACUCAAAUGAAUUGACGGGG